rnacentral:rRNA from 1 species
CCUACGGGAGGCAGCAGUGGGGAAUUUUGGACAAUGGGCGCAAGCCUGAUCCAGCCAUGCCGCGUGUGGGAAGAAGGCCUUCGGGUUGUAAACCACUUUUGUCAGGGAAGAAACGGUCUGAACUAAUACUUUGGACUAAUGACGGUACCUGAAGAAUAAGCACCGGCUAACUACGUGCCAGCAGCCGCGGUAAUACGUAGGGUGCAAGCGUUAAUCGGAAUUACUGGGCGUAAAGCGUGCGCAGGCGGCUUUGCAAGACAGAUGUGAAAUCCCCGGGCUCAACCUGGGAACUGCAUUUGUGACUGCAUGGCUAGAGUACGGUAGAGGGGGAUGGAAUUCCGCGUGUAGCAGUGAAAUGCGUAGAUAUGCGGAGGAACACCGAUGGCGAAGGCAAUCCCCUGGACCUGUACUGACGCUCAUGCACGAAAGCGUGGGGAGCAAACAGGAUUAGAUACCCUGGUAGUCCACGCCCUAAACGAUGUCAACUGGUUNUUGGGAGGGUUUCUCUCAGUAACGAAGCUAACGCGUGAAGUUGACCGCCGNGGAGGUACGGCCGCGAGUAGAACGUACAANAGAGUUAGAGGCGUGAGAGUGCCGACGGACGACGACGAGGGAGGAGG